GUCUACGGCCAUACUACCUUGAAAACACCGGUUCUCGUCCGAUCACCGAAGUUAAGCAUCGUCGGGCCUGGUUAGUACUUGGAUGGGAGACCGCUUGGGAAUACCAGGUGCUGUAGACA
rnacentral:rRNA from 1 species